GAUGAACGCUGGCGGCGUGCUUAACACAUGCAAGUCGAACGGAAAGGCCCAAGCUUGCUUGGGUACUCGAGUGGCGAACGGGUGAGUAACACGUGGGUGAUCUGCCCUGCACUUCGGGAUAAGCCUGGGAAACUGGGUCUAAUACCGGAUAGGACGAUGGUUUGGAUGCCAUUGUGGAAAGUUUUUUCGGUGUGGGAUGAGCUCGCGGCCUAUCAGCUUGUCGGUGGGGUAAUGGCCUACCAAGGCGUCGACGGGUAGCCGGCCUGAGAGGGUGUACGGCCACAUUGGGACUGAGAUACGGCCCAGACUCCUACGGGAGGCAGCAGUGGGGAAUAUUGCACAAUGGGCGCAAGCCUGAUGCAGCGACGCCGCGUGGGGGAUGACGGCCUUCGGGUUGUAAACUCCCUUCGCUAGGGACGAAGCGUUUUUGUGACGGUACCUGGAGAAGAAGCACCGGCUAACUACGUG
rnacentral:rRNA from 1 species